UACGGAGGGUGCGAGCGUUGUCCGGAAUCAUUGGGCGUAAAGGGCGCGUAGGCGGUCCCUCAAGUCAGGCGUGAAAGCCCCGGGCUCAACCUGGGAACCGCGCUUGAGACUGGUGGGCUAGAGUUCGGGAGAGGAUGGUGGAAUUCCCAGUGUAGAGGUGAAAUUCGUAGAUAUUGGGAAGAACACCGAUGGCGAAGGCAGCCAUCUGGACCGACACUGACGCUGAGGCGCGAAAGCGUGGGGAGCAAACAGG
rnacentral:rRNA from 1 species